UACGAAGGGGGCUAGCGUUGCUCGGAAUUACUGGGCGUAAAGCGCACGUAGGCGGUCUUUUAAGUCGGGGGUGAAAUCCUGGAGCUCAACUCCAGAACUGCCUUCGAUACUGGAAGACUUGAGUCCGGGAGAGGUGAGUGGAACUGCGAGUGUAGAGGUGAAAUUCGUAGAUAUUCGCAAGAACACCAGUGGCGAAGGCGGCUCACUGAUCCGGUACUGACGCUGAGGUGCGAAAGCGUGGGGAGCAAACAGG
rnacentral:rRNA from 1 species